rnacentral:snRNA from 1 species
GCAUGUGAGCGUGAUCUGAUGGUGACAUCUGAACCCUAUUGAUUGCCAGAGUUGAUUUGGCUGAUCUGGCUGGUUAGACAGGUGUCUCCCUCCUCCCACACCGCUCUGUGUGCAUCCCUCCCGAAGCUUAGUGUUCUGUCGAAGAGGAUUUCCAUCCCUGCUAUAGGAGGACCAUUCUUUGGUCAAAAGUAAAAGGGUAGUUGCACUCCCCUGUUAGACUCUGCAAACAAGCUCUCAAGGUCAAUAAAUAUGUAUUAAUUGAAUGAAUGAACCAAGAAAAAAAAAGCAGAUUUGCGAUAUUUCUUUAUAUUUUCAA